rnacentral:rRNA from 2 species
GGGUUGCGGACAGUGUCUGGUGGGUAGUUUGACUGGGGCGGUCUCCUCCUAAAGAGUAACGGAGGAGCACGAAGGUUGGCUAAUCCUGGUCGGACAUCAGGAGGUUAGUGCAAUGGCAUAAGCCAGCUUGACUGCGAGCGUGACGGCGCGAGCAGGUGCGAAAGCAGGUCAUAGUGAUCCGGUGGUUCUGAAUGGAAGGGCCAUCGCUCAACGGAUAAAAGGUACUCCGGGGAUAACAGGCUGAUACCGCCCAAGAGUUCAUAUCGACGGCGGUGUUUGGCACCUCGAUGUCGGCUCAUCACAUCCUGGGGCUGAAGUAGGUCCCAAGGGUAUGGCUGUUCGCCAUUUAAAGUGGUACGCGAGCUGGGUUUAGAACGUCGUGAGACAGUUCGGUCCCUAUCUGCCGUGGGCGCUGGAGAACUGAGGGGGGCUGCUCCUAGUACGAGAGGACCGGAGUGGACGCAUCACUGGUGUUCGGGUUGUCAUGCCAAUGGCACUGCCCGGUAGCUAAAUGCGGAAGAGAUAAGUGCUGAAAGCAUCUAAGCACGAAACUUGCCCCGAGAUGAGUUCUCCCUGACCCUUUAAGGGUCCUGAAGGAACGUUGAAGACGACGACGUUGAUAGGCCGGGUGUGUAAGCGCAGCGAUGCGUUGAGCUAACCGGUACUAAUGAACCGUGAGGCUUAACCUU